AAAAACUUCAACAAAAUAUCUUAAUUUACUUACACAUAGUUACGGCAAAUUUUCUGCAGCAACAAAUCCUAACCUACCCUAAAGAAAACCUCAAAAAUUUAUAUUUAAAAUGACAUAGAGGCAGCACUCCCAUCAUAUGUUUUACAAUCAAUUUCUUUUGCUUUAAAAUAUAUUAUCUAGAAAAAGUAAUAGGCGAAAAAUAUCGCGAACAGCGAAUAUGGUACCAUAUUUUGAAGAGCAAUAUGCACCUCCGGCGAAACUCUAAUUACCCUAUGUUUGGUACUCUAUUUCAUGUAAUUAUGUUAAAAAAAAAUUAUAUUUUGUUAAAGUUUUUCGCAACAAUUCCAAAAGUUUCUUUGAUUGAAUCUAAAUAAAAGUCGACUAGAUUUCAAUAAUCUCGGGUUCGGCAAGGAGUUUU